rnacentral:rRNA from 1 species
UGGGGAAUAUUGCACAAUGGGCGCAAGCCUGAUGCAGCCAUGCCGCGUGUGUGAAGAAGGCCUUCGGGUUGUAAAGCACUUUCAGCGAGGAGGAAGGUGGUGAGCUUAAUACGCUCAUCAAUUGACGUUACUCGCAGAAGAAGCACCGGCUAACUCCGUGCCAGCAGCCGCGGUAAUACGGAGGGUGCAAGCGUUAAUCGGAAUUACUGGGCGUAAAGCGCACGCAGGCGGUUUGUUAAGUCAGAUGUGAAAUCCCCGGGCUCAACCUGGGAACUGCAUUUGAAACUGGCAAGCUAGAGUCUCGUAGAGGGGGGUAGAAUUCCAGGUGUAGCGGUGAAAUGCGUAGAGAUCUGGAGGAAUACCGGUGGCGAAGGCGGCCCCCCUGGACGAAGACUGACGCUCAGGUGCGAAAAGCGUGGGGCAGCAAACAGGAUUAGAUACCCUGGUAGUCCAGCGCUGUAAACGAUGUCGAUUUGGAGGUUGUGCCCUUGAGGCGUGGCUUCCGGAGCUAACGCGUUAAAUCGACCGCCUGGGGAGUACGGCCGCAAGGUUAAAACUUAAAUGAAUUGAC